rnacentral:lncRNA from 1 species
AAGGAGGGGGUCUGGAGAGAACUGGUGGCCACCCUCUCUAUUCCCAAUGGCGGCUCCCAUGAAGCCUUCUCCAAGGACACAGAGUGGGUCCACGCACGAAACCAGGAGAGAAGGGGAUGGAGAACUCACUUGGCUGGAUUUCAGGUGUCUGGCCCCUCCAGGAGCCCUUUAUGUUGAUUAUUUCAAGACAG